rnacentral:rRNA from 1 species
UUGGAGGGCAAGUCUGGUGCCAGCAGCCGCGGUAAUUCCAGCUCCAAUAGCGUAUAUUAAAGUUGUUGCAGUUAAAAAGCUCGUAGUUGAAUUUCGGGAUUAGUACGUUGGUCGUGCCUUCGGUACGUACUGGUGUUACUGAUUUCUACCUUCUGACGAACCAUCAUGUCAUUCAUUUGGUGUGGUGGGGAAUCAGGACUGUUACUUUGAAAAAAUUAGAGUGCUUAAAGCAGGCUCGCGCUUGAAUACAUUAGCAUGGAAUAAUGAAAUAGGACGUUGAUCCUAUUUUGUUGGUUUCUAGGAUUGACGUAAUGAUUAAUAGGGAUAGUUGGGGGCAUUAGUAUUCAAUUGUCAGAGGUGAAAUUCUUGGAUUUAUUGAAGACUAACUACUGCGAAAGCAUUUGCCAAGGAUGUUUUCAUUAAUCAAGAACGAAAGUUAGGGGAUCGAAGACGAUCAGAUACCGUCGUAGUCUUAACCAUAAACUAUGCCGACUAGGGAUCGGAUGAUGUUAAUUUUUUAAUGACUCAUUCGGCGCCUUACGGGAAAC